rnacentral:lncRNA from 1 species
AUUUACCUCUGUAAACAAGCCGAGCUUCGUGAUUAUUAUAUAGGAUGAGUAUCUAAGCAGAAGUGUUUCUGGUUUUAGGGGAUUUGGUCUGCGAGAGUGUGACAAAUGACUUCUGGAGAAUUGUCCCAGUUUCCUCGCCUAUGUGUAGUUUUUCUUUGACUAACUUCUUUUUCUAAUGCUUUUUGAUAAUCAUCAUCUCAGAUAUUCACUGAUAUUUCACAGUCUUCCCCUCAGCACCUAGUUAGUGCUCAAGAAAUACCUGCUGAAUGAAUUUCCCAUCACGGGAUGAGACCCUGCAACGUCGGUUCCCGUAUACAAACAGUCAGUUUGGGAGGUCAGGCCUACAGGAAUAAUGGAUAAUACCAUAUUUAACCCUCCUGACAACUUAAUGAAACACAUCAUGUCCCACCUUGGAGAGGAGGGAAUGAAGGCAAGAAAGAAGUAACUUGGCCAAAAUGGCACAGCUAGUGGCAGCCGAGCAGGGACUCAAAGCUGGGCUACUUGAUUGCAGGGCCUGUAUUUCCAACUACUGUAUUAUGGCGAUUCUCAAUCACAUCUAUGCUAUAUCAAGCUUAAUGCACGAUAAAUGGUGAAACUUAAGAAUGCAAUUUCCAGGAGUGGAGGUCUAAAGGAUGAGAAGAAUCCAGAUAGCACAGCAGUUGGAUGUGGAGAGAAUGUCUGUCCAGAACUGUGGCACACUCCUAGCUGUCGGCCUUUGGAAACACUGUGUUCAGGGGUUUCAUCACCACAACCUCCCUUACAAGCUCCCACAACCCCGAUUUCUGUGUCGGCCCACGUUUCUGUGCUGUCCAGGCUCUGCUGAAGUCUGCUAUGUGAACAGCACCUGGCUGAGAGGGUGCCGGCCUUGUAGUCCUAAAAGUGAUGCAGGAUUGGAAUUCCCAAUGAAGACCUACGUUGGGGAUCCUCUCCAUAGAAGGUCUUCCAAGAACUUUUCAGAUCAUCUCGGCUACUGUGACUGCCAAGAGCAAUGGGAAGGGGCUAGUGGCAGGGAAGAAUAAUUCCAUUUUCCAAACUAAUGCUCUUAAAUUUGAAAUGUGCAAAAAUGUGGUUGCAUCACAUGUGCUAACCUGCCCUGAGAAUAAGACUGUG